CUGAGGUGCCGCCCCCAGCUCCCUUCUCUCCGCGCAUUCGCUCCAGCUAUUGCGACGUCACUGCGUUCUAAAAAAGAACCGAGAAAACAAUCUGCAUUGAGAGAAAUAGAUACAGUCCGGGUCCUAUUUAAAGGGGAAGCUCUGGGCACCCCGGAGUCAGAUCCAGCUUCAUAAACAAAGGCGAAGGAAGGAUUGCGGGAGAAGCCUCCUCAGCAAAUAUGGUGUCGCCGGUGACAGUGGUGAAGAGUGAAGGCCCGAAACUUGUCCCCUUCUUCAAAGCCACUUGCGUCUAUUUCGUCCUCUGGCUGCCCACCUCCAGCCCCUCCUGGUUCAGUGCCCUCAUCAAGUGUCUGCCCAUCUUCUGCUUAUGGGUUUUCCUGCUGGCGCACGGAAUCAAUUUCCUGACGGCCCAUCGCAGCGCCUGCAGAAUCCUGGCCGGUUUGAUAUUCUCAUCCAUAGGAGAUGCUUUCCUCAUCUGGCAAGAGCAAGGCUACUUCGUUCACGGUUUGCUGAUGUUUGCCAUCACGCACAUCUUGUAUUCUUCCGCAUUUGGGAUGAAGCCUCUAGAUCUGAAAGCUGGCCUGGUGAUGACUUUGGUGACCAGUUUCUCCUACACUUUCCUGUACUCCUACCUCUCGGGCCCCUUCACCUACCUAGUAGCCGUCUACACUGCCUUGAUUGGCUUCAUGGGCUGGCGGGCCAUGGCCGGCGUGCAGCUGUGCAACGACCUGUGGACUUGGACCAAGCUCUCGGCUUGCAUUGGCUCGGUGCUCUUCAUGGUGUCCGACCUGACCAUUGCCGUCAACAAGUUCUGCUUCCCUGUGCCCUACUCGCGGGUCAUCAUCAUGGCCACGUACUAUGCAGCUCAGAUGCUCAUUGCACUUUCUGCGGUGGAAAGCAGGGAGGAAGACAUCUUCAGGAAAAGGAAGUAGACGGGGGUGCCUGUAGGCGCUCAAACUCUGCUGGGAGUGCUGUAACUGCAAUUCAUCCCGGAGGAGAGUUUUGACUCUAGGUGAACCGGGGAUUGCAGAUCUUGCUUCAUCGAAGCAUUACCUUUAGUGUUUAGCUGGCUCUUCUCCAGUCCAGUUUGCCGGAGCCUAGAAGCCACACUGGAAGUUUAGUUCACACAGAACCAACUAUCUGACCUUUUCCUCUCUCUCUCUCUCUCUCUCUCUCUCUCUCUCUCUCUUUGCAUCUUGGAAGUUUCGUGGGAGGGAGGGCCUCUCUAACUACUUCAUUGUGUUUGUAUAAUACUGAGGCUGAGGCUGAACAUUCCAGAAGGAGAAGAUUCGUUUCAGGACGACGUUUCAAAAGAAGGAAAGGGUAGGCAGUGCAUUGGCGUUUAAGAGCCUUGCCUUCAACACUCUGAAUGUGCAAAAGUCAUGUGAAAAUGACCCUUGGUGCUGCCUGACCAAGCCCCGUUUUGCGUGCAUUGCAGUACAACUGUGAAACAAUUGUGUGUCUACACAAGGAACCCCCAGGGCCCAAACGCUACAACAGGACAUGGGAGCACUUUGUGGGAGUUUAUGUCGGCCGUAAAGCUUGGGCUGCCCCUGGGAGAAACCAGUCUGACGUCCAGAUUCGUUACAACCAUUUUAUUUAUGGGCCAUUCAAAGCCUUUCUUCUGAAUGUGAAUCCUGCAGGGCCCAUGUUGUUCUGCAGGCUUAAAAGCAACAACAAAAUGCAACAGUUUUCUCAGGCGCGGGUGGGCGGGAACAUGGGAAAUGAAAAGAUUGCUGUACAUGUGCGUGUGAAACGCAGUUAACGGUAUAUGGUUCGUCAGUUUUUCUAGCAAUUUCUAGCUUGCAUAAUCUCAGAUUAGAGCACCAAACAGGAGAACAUUGUGAGCGCUCUCAAAAUCUAACUCACCAGCUGCUUCUUUGGCUGAAUAUUUUGGCCAAGGAAACCACCGGCUCAUCAGACCUGCUGUCAUAGCUACACGACGGGUCUGGGAGGAAAGACUUGGAUUAGUGACGAUGCGUGGAGCCAGCUUCUCCUCCCAGCCUCCACUCCAGAGUCCAGACAAAAUCCCAUGUAUUGAAAGAGGAAGAAUCAGCAGGGUUAUAUCCUGCGCAUGCAGGUGGUCUGGUCACUGUGAACAAGCGCUGUGUGGCGGAUCCCUGACAGGCAUUAGCAAGUCAUUGUUUCUAUACAGUGGACUAUCAGGGAACAAUAUUUAUUUGAAACUAAGCCAAUGGGCUUCCGUGUAUUUGCGCAUGUGUAAUGUGCCUGUUUCCGUGUACAUGUUGCACAAUAAGAAUUGUGUUACUUUCCCACCAACUGUCACCAGGACUGUAGAAUCUGCAGGUGCCUUCAGACCAACAGCUGCAGUUGCGGGUCUUGCCGAGAGGUACAGCCUAUCACCAAAGUGCUGAGAGACUAAUCAAUGCGCCACUCUCCUCUCAUCCAUCUUCACUGGACAGCACUGAGUCACUGUAGAUCCAAUUGGCAGGGAAGUGCAGUGGGGAAAAGUUAUGUGUCAGCAGCUUCCUUGCUGUUUUGUUUCGGUGUCAAGUUGCAAAAUGGGUUAGCUUGGCCUGCACUGCAGCGAUUGGUGUGAAGACCCCUGGUUGUGUGUGCCCACCUAAUUAUUUGUGGGGACUUUGAGGGAAACAACAUACUUACUGACCGCAAUGUAUUUUUCUUCGUACAAGCUAGUAAGUGGAGGUCAUGGGUAGAGCAAUCCUGCAGAGGUUGGAGGAGGGAGAAUCUGUGUCAAAGGAGCCACCACUUUCAAAGCCCUGCUGGGUUCUUACCUAUAUUCUUUUUCCUGGCCCAUUUCCUUUUCUCCUGUGAAGAGGGAGGUUUGCAGCCUCUCAGCUGCCUUUCCCGGGAGCUUAAGUGCUGAUUUACUUUGAGUCUUUACAGUUAGAACAUACAGCAUUCCUUUAGGUUCCCUCUACUGUGUUCUUUCAGUAGAAUUCUGCCCUUGCUUGCAAAAUUACCGUACCUGUUCAGAUAAGUACCUUUCCCCUUACUUUGCUUAUCUGUGUUGUUGUUGUUUUUUUAAAAAAAACACUAUGAAAAGAGCAUCCUUAGUCAUUCUUAAACAGUGGCAUCUUGCCAGAGGUGUACCACAUAUUCGAGAUAGAUUGCACACACCUACACCCGCUUAAUAUCCCAAGAUAAAACUUCCACACAGACAUUCUGUCAUUCAGAAAUGAACUACAGCGUAUGCUGUUCCUCAGAGUCUAGCUCUGGGGUGCUCUCUCAAUUCCCAUAAUCCCACUGUGUCAGGCACUUCAAUUCCUACAAUUGCUGGAGAAAGGGCCAUAGCUCUGUGGUAUCAGACUUAAUCCCUGACACAUCUUCAGGUGGGGCUAGGAAGGACCCUUGUUUGAAACCCUGGAGAGAGCUCCUCUUCCUUGUCAGUGCAGACAAUGCUGAGCUGGAUGGGCAAACUGGUCUGACUCAAGAUGAGGCCUCUUCCUCUGCUCCUGUGGCUGACAUCUUGUAAUGGGCAUUUCCUUAUUACAAGCAUUAUUAUUACAAAGUGAUAAUUAUUACAAAGUACCUACCUUUCCCCAGGGAUACUUCCAACAUGUUGAAUUGUUUGCUACUGGCUCAGUCAUUAAGGUAGAAGCUGCUCAUGUGACUUUCUGUAAUAGUCAAUUCUGGCAACAUCCAAUCAGUGGGGGAAAUUCUGUGUUACAAAAAUAUUGUUGGUCUUAUAGCACUGAAACCAUUGUGGCUUCUCCCAACGAAUGCCACGUUCACCAUAUGUUGUGUAAUCUUAUACACCUUUAUCAUGUGUCUCCCCCACCACUCCCUUAUUCGCCUAAAAAGCCCCAAAUGUUGCAUCCUUUCCUUACAGAGGAGUUGCUCCAACUCUUUGAUCCUUUUGGUUGCCCCUUUCUGAACCUUCUUCAGCACUCCGGUGAGGUGAGGUGAGCAGAAAUGUACACAGGGGGUUUGGGGUCCCAUGAAUCAACAUACCCACAGAAUCCCCACUUUGCAGUCCAGAAGCGGAAGCAGAAGCAGCAAAACAAUGCUGGCAGGGCAGUUACACCUGCAGAGCCCCAGUGGAGAGAGUCCUGCCCUCUGGACGACCCUCCCAGGGAGCAGAAUGGCAGCUGGGCUGCUACUUAUGGCGCCUCAGCCAACCGAAUGCUGGCUGUAUGCCAGCUGUUGGAUUGCACCCUGCGCUGAUUACAUCUAGGAUUUAGUUGAUUAAGUUUUAUGUGUGGAUGCAGGCUAACACGUGGAAUAUUUUGUUUUAGGGCAGCAUGUUGGGGCAAGUUUCAUCGGGAGGCUACUUUGCAAUGUUGUACAUAUUAUAAAACCGUAACUCUGUUCAUGGGAGGAUGAUGAUGAUGAUGACGUACCUGACCCAAGGAGGAUUACUUGGCUGACCAAUUGUUUUCCAUUUGGAAUUGGGGUUCUGCUGUCUGAGCCUGGACUCGAGAGACAGUGGCUUGUUUCAGACUGGCUCUGAAACCACAGAGGCAAGAAAGAAGAUUCUGAGCGUAGACACUCUGCUUUGCUCCCGCCCCAUGUGCUGCUACAUUCUGAUGAAGGACCCCAAGGAACACAGGGUCUUUCCAGAGUGAGGCAUUGUGGGAAAGGUGCCUUUGAAAAGGGCCUGCACCACUACUGCUUUGUUGCAGCAUCCAGUUUUAGACUUGAGCAGUAUACUACUUUUAAGCUUUAGACAAUAUCUGCUGUGGCAAAGGAGCUGCAGCAGGGCUAGCCUGCCCAUCAGCCUCAGCGAGGCAGCCACCUCAGGUGGCAAGCUGGGAACAGCUGGGAGGCCCCCAGGGAGCAUGCCACCUGCUGCCUACACUUCUUGUCUGUGGCUGCCGCCUGGGAAGAGGGGGGCCACUGUUGCUGCCACCUGCUCCUCUCCAACCUCCUUUAGUCUUUCUUCUGCCUUCAGUGCACCAAGGCUUCCCUGAGGCGGCAGGGGUUGCAGGUGGCAGAGGAGAUGGGAGGCGCCAUUUUCUAUUUUGCCUCAAGCGACAAAAUGUCUUGGGCUGACAAUCCCCCAAACCUUGAAUGCCUUGAGCUAAGGAAGGCGGCUUCUGCAGAGUGAGGCAUUCUAGCAUGGGCAACACUGGAGGAGCAGCACUGAGCAUUUUGCUGAAGCAACCGAGUGGCAGGGGCACUUCAAGCGGACAAAGCAGGAGGGUGGGCAGGUGGGCAAGAGUGCACAAUUCCCUCACCCAUCACGUUUUGCCACCUGAGGCAGAAGUCUCAGAGUGGCUAACUGGUGGAGCGGCCCUGUGAGGAAGGCUCUUGAGACAAGGGAUGGCUGGAAAGUUCUCAGCCUCAUUCCAUUCCAUUCUAUUUAGGCUGAGGACUUUUCAGGGUGCCCAUUGUAAAUGGGCAACCAAUGAGCCUUAAAGUCAUUGUUAUCGCUGGCUAGCGCCAUCCGCUUCUUUAUCCAGACGCUAAGCAGAUUUCAUACCCGUCGCUUUCCUUGCAUUCACUGGUGAAGAGGCUUUUCCUCCCCUUAGAGCAGCCAGACACCCUUACCUUUACUUUGAUGGGUGUCUUUUGUUUAGAGAAGAACCAGAAUAGAACAGAUGGCCUCUUUUUCCCCCUUCAUUUCAGGACACCACAAUUUCACAGGCCUUGAAAAGUGCCUCCACCACCUCCUCUUCACAGUCUGAGAUGGCAGCCAGAAAGGAUCCUUGUGAUAGAUAGCUAUCUACAAUAUAGGUGUGUGUGUAUGCCAUAUAUAUACAGUGGUACCUCAGGUUACAAACUCCUUGGGUUACAGACGCUUCAGGUUAGACUCCGCUAUCCCACA